GAACUUGUUCUGUUGUCAGUGAUGUGCAAAGAGCAGUAAGGGCUGCCCAUAAAUUCAGGCAAACUGCACGCAGAUAGAUUUGGAACACCAUUUCCAAAUUCCUCAGUGCCCAGAAGGCCUGGCUGAAAGUGCAUUGAUGGUUUCACAUACUAAGGGUUCUUAUAGCAACAUGCCAGCUUGGAAGGCUGUGUUUGUAGCACGGCAAAACAUUGAAUGUGUCAUAAAUACUGUGAGCAUCAAAAACAAGGUUUUGCCAAUCAAGCACAAAGAGAUCAUCGUUUGGAUAAAACAAAUGGGAGCCUUCAUGAAGGGAGCGCAACAGGGAUCAGAAGUAACUCCCCCUUACGGUGCUACAGUGAGCCUCUGUCUCUGAAGAGAGUUCUUUUCUGGGAAACAGCAAGCAUUGAUCAUUGCUGGAGGCAGUUUGCUGGACAAGCUGACAAAAGUAGAACCCCAGAAAGCAGGAAGUGAUUGGUUCAAUAAUGCAGAGGAAGAAUCUAGAAUGGAGAUCAGACCCCAUGAAAUCCAGCCACUUUGCUGGUCACAAAAACUUCUGACUGGCAAGUUCUACACCUGAUUUGCAAAGACUACAGCUUGCUGCUGGAAGAUUACUCCAAAUAGAAAGCUAAAUAUAAAGAAACAAAACCUUUGCUGUUAACUGCAUCAACACCGCAAGGAGAUUUAAUACCAUUUACUAAAACACAACAUUUUAUAUAUUUUUUUCUGAAUGUGAUUUUUUAGCCUAUACAUUUCUGUAUUGUAGCUGAAAUCAAGGAUUCAGAAUACUUUCAGGUUUUUAUAUUUCUGAAUAAUUAUAUUCUGCAUAAAUAGGACUAAAGAGUUUUUAGGGUUAUAGCAAGACAUAACCCAAGAAGUCUUAUCUUAGUCUGUUGGUUUAGUUAAUUAAAUAAUUUAAGCUUCUGUUUUUCGUUAUCUCUCCUGCAAUAACAAACUCUUUUGUUUUUUAAAUAAGAUCACAAUCACUUUGUGUCCUGAGCUGCCAGGCAGUUACCACUGCAUAAUUAUAUAGCUGCACAGUAAUACAGCAUGUCUUAAUACGGCAAAUACAAAUUGAGUGUAUUUGCAUCCUGCGGGGUUUUGAAGUACAGAAGAAAUUUAAAUUCUUGAUAAAUUAAUCAUUUUGUUUUCUAUCACAUAGCCCUGAUAAUGGAAAAAUCUGAAGAAUUUCUGAGGAGUAUUUGUUUCCCUAGAUACAGCUCUACUGCUGUUAAUCCCUGCUGUACAAAGACUUGUCCUUGACUAAUACAUAUAGAUUGAAAACUGGGAGUGGACAUCGGAAGAAAACUGUGAACUGUUUAACAUCAUUAGCUCCUACUUCAUAAACUAAGAAAGGGGGCAUAUAAAAUAUGAACUAAGCAGAUGCUGUACAUAAGCC